UAGGGUACUCGAUUUUCAGAACAAUGAGGAAAUCCUCGCUUGAAUUUAUCGAAUUCGACUAAGGGGAAUAGAUGCACCAGAGAAUGCAAUGCCAUAUGGGAAAGAAGCAAAGGAGGAGCUAACAAAGAUUGUGCAAGGAAAGUGCUUGCGAGUCCUUAUUUAUGGGGAAGAUCAAUAUGGCCGUUGCAUAGCUAACAUAUAUUGUGAUGGCAAAUUUGUUCAGGUGCUGUUUCUCAGAACAUUGGUUCCUUUUGCGCUUGUUAACACUGAGCUAACUUAUCCCUCUUUUCUCACUGCCAAGAAUUAAUGCUCAAGAAAGGUUUUGCAUGGCACUAUGCAACCUACGACCAAUGCCCAGAACUUGCAAGAUGGGAAAAAGAGGCUCAAGCCACAAGAGUUGGACUGUGGGCUUCAUCGAAUCCUGAGAAGCCGUGGGAAUGGAGAAAGAAGAAUUAGAAGAAAGGACAAAAGAGAAUAAGGAGAAAGGACAAAAGUGAAGGUAGAUGACAUUUUCCAAAUAGGAAGGAAAGUGAGACCUCCUUUUGACUAAUUAUCUCAUGCAACGGAUUCCUUCCUCUAUCAUUGUAUGAACCUUGCAAUCCUAUAAGAUUCACACAUUGUGAAAGGAAGGAUGAAUAUUUAUCUCCGAUGUAUGAGGUACUUGUUACGGGUGACUGCUUUUAACCAUAUGAGGCUAGAAGGCAAAGCCAAUGCAAUAUAUUAGGACGUACUUCCCAAACUAGGAGUUCGUAGCAACUUGACACCAAAUGUCAAAAGCAUCUCUCUUCAUUUUUAUGUACCAGUCAUAUGAACCAUUAUGUAUUUAAUCUUAGUAAAGGCUGUUGUAAGUUAUGUUUGAAUCAACAACCCAAGUAAGAGGUGGGUUGUAAUUUGUAAGUUGUGUUACCUGAACA